CUCUGUCACCCAGGCCAGAGUGCAGCAAUGCAAUCAGAGCUCACUGCAGUCUUGGCCUUGCAGGCUAAAGCAGUCCUCCCACGUCAGCCUUCCGAGUGGCUGGGACUGCAGGCAUGCACCACUGCGCUCAGCUCUGUCUAUAGUUUUGACUGGCACUUCCCUAGUGAUCAGUGGGAACCUGAUCAAUG